GGAGGGAUGGCUGAGUGGUCUAAAGCGGCGGUCUUGAAAACCGUUGAGGGUUAAACCUCCGUGGGUUCGAAUCCUACUCCCUCCGCCA
rnacentral:tRNA from 1 species